CUUAAUGCCACUGCUUUCCUGAGAGGCCAGGUGGCAGGAUGUGGGACGACUCCGGCUGACAAAGACAGUCUAACCGUGGGGUAGGGGCUGGAGCAGGCGCCAGCGACCCAUGUCUACAUGCAUACUUCUCUUACACUGCUGCAGCUGGAAAAGCUAGACCCUGCGCCAGGACCCCAGCCCUGUGCACGGACCCCUGAGCGCCUGGGAAGCUGUCUCUGGGACUGAAGCCCCCCACCUCCGCCGGGCUGGCGGCCACUGCGGUACCCUACUCCCCGUCGGGCUGGCCCUGCACAAUUUGGGAAAAAGCCGCAGCGCUUCUGCAAGGUCUACGUGGCCAGGAGCAUGCAACGCUUGGCUCCCAAAAAGACACGAAAGGAGCAAAGCAUCAACGACCACCCGAUCAGAGGGCCCGAGGGGCGCCUCUUCACCAGUCAGCUGCAGCUUAAGUUCCGUGCAUUAUCCGAAAGGAACAGCUGGCUGGAGGUAUCCAGGGCUGUCACUCCAACCUCUGAAGCGGUGACCUCAACUCCCAGCACUUCAAAACCCAGACAGAAACAAACGUCCAACAAACUCCCACUCCAGGAGCGCUGCAAAACCAACGCCAGUUGCAAGAGAACCUGCUUCAGGUGGUCUAAAUGAAAGCGAGUCCGAGUCCUGUGCUUAGGUAAUAUUUAGCUGCUGGUUUAUGGUUAUGGAUGACAUUAUUCCAUUGGCUUCAAGAGGGCACUUCAUAAAAUUCCUCACUUACUGAUUCAAAUUUUAAUAUAUCCGUGGAGCACUGUGUGCUCACGGCAGGUGAGGAUAGAGGUGAGAAGACCCAGCAACUCCCUGGACAUCCAUAUGUGUUAAUCAGCCAGGCAUUUACAUUGUUUCCCUAACUUGGCUUUAGUUCCCCUCAGCCUUUUGGGUGUUGGUCAGAGAUCGUGGUUAUGGAGGAGGUGUCUUCAAAAGCAUCAAGGAAAAACUAUGAAAUAUUUUGAUAUUUGAUACCAAAUAUCCAAAUUUGCCAUGGUGCCCAGCAUGGCUCAAGAUCAGAAGUGUCAAGCACAUCUGGUAAGGGAGAUAAUAAUAAUUCAAGGGCAAAUGAAUUGCCCCAUGAACAGUGGAUUACAGUAUGGAUUUGUUUGGACCACUUAUCUUUUCUUUUGAAUUGACUUAACUCCUACAUUCGUAGGAGAUAAGCAGGAAAUCAGAAGCACUCCUAGGGAUUGGCACUGGUCUAAAGGACAGCUCUAAGGAGAAGCUUAGAUACCAGAUUCAUCUUCCAUCCAACAGAAGCUCCCCAGGGAUAAAACUGCAAGGUUAAAUGUGAAACUCAAAAUUUGAAGCAAAAGGCUCUCCUCAUCUGCACGUUUUUUCUUCCUAAAUUGAGCAGUAAUACUAGAAACAGAGUCAAUUGAACCUUAAUAGUUCCUCUGGGGUACCAGGCAUCAUUCUAAUGAACUUGUUUCAUCCUCACAGAGGCACAGAUAAGGUAAGUAACUUGCCAAAGUUCACACUGCUUGGAGUAGAGUCGGGAUUCUAAUCUGGCUUGUCUGGCUCCAGAGCCCAUGUUCGAAACCAUUAGGCUCAUUCUGCCUCUCUUGAAGAAGACACCAAACGUCCCAAUCUUGGCUAGCCUGGCUAAUCCCAGAGACCUCCACAGUUAAACAAGGUGUAGAAAUAGAAUGUCCCAUCACUUAGCUAUACUUCUAUCCCUCCCCACUUCUAUACAACUACCACUACCAUUGCCACCAGCAACUGGUAAAUAUUGAUGGAGCUUCUUUUCUUUGCCAGGCACUAUAGAUACAAAUUUUUUUUAAAAAGAGACUGCAAUCCUGACCUCAGGAACUACAGAGGAGAUAGACACCCAAGCAAAUAUGCCAACAAAAUCCCAAAUGGGGUCUAGUAAGGGGGAAAAAAAAAAGCUGGCAUAGCCAGAUGGGCAGGGACUCGCCUUGCUUCAGGGACAAACUUGCAGUAGUGAUGAAUUCCUUUCAUUCUUAGCUUUCCUCCUAUUACUUCCCUGAUUUCUUUUACUUACAAAUGACAUGUCUAAAUAGCAGAGACUUGAAGUUCUCUUGUUGAGGUGCUGAGAUGUUCAGAAGGGAGGUAUCCUGUUUAACCAACAGAUCAUUUAUAGAUAAAGAGAGGCUCUAACUUAGCCUUCUUCCAGGGCAGGAAAUCUUCUGUUCCAUAUGCAAUAUCUUCUGGCAGCCUUGUCCUCUUUUUGUCCUUGUCGACUACAAUAACAAAAAGCUGUUGGCGAGGCAUUGCUUUGCUAUUGACGUGUUACCUUUGAAACCUCCCUCCUGUUAUGGAAUAAGCCUCUUCCAGAUCAUGGAUCAUUAUCAUCUGGUCUGACAGGCAGCCUUGUUGCCACGGAGACCCGAAGGGAUCAGGCGUGCCGUUUGCUUGCAUCAUCAUCCCCUCCGGGGGAACAACAAGGACUCUUCUGCACGUCACGCGUGGCUGUCCUGGGGCUGGCUGCCACCAGACUUUCCCUGCGGGUAAAACCUAAACAAAUGACCAGCUGCAGAUAAUAUCAAGACUUCUGUUUGAUAUGUUAAUAGUGACAACCAUAUUUCCACAAUUAACAACGGUGGGAAGAAAACACUGUAGUCACCAGACUUGGGAGGAGAGGGUUUGUAUUCACACAAACACAACCUUACGUCACUGCUUGCCACCACAAAGGUCUCUGUUCACUGUUUUGUUCUUGAAGAUCAUCCUUGUGCUCAUCCUCUGAUCUUGAAUUUCUACAAAACUUUCUCAGUUUAUAUGCCCUGUGGCAAGUGCAGCAAGCACUGUUUCCUGUUUCUAAACUUGUAGAAAAUCAUCCAUACAUCUUACAGUUGUCAGUUUUAACCAGAUAACAGCGGCACUUUGUUGCUGCUUUUUUAUCUUUAGCUUCGGUUAACAGGACCUUGGAAGUAAAGUUGUAGAUUUAUUCAAUAGAGUAUUCUCAAUUAAUUUGGCUAGAUUUCUACAUUAUUCAAAAUCUAAAAAAGUAGAAAUGCAUGCUUAUAUGUCUAAGACCUGAAAAAUCUGUGGUGACAUCCCAAAAUAAAUGAAGAUUUUAAAACAA